rnacentral:rRNA from 1 species
AGAGUUUGAUCAUGGCUCAGGAGAACGCUGGCGGCGUGCUUAACACAUGCAAGUCGAGCGGAAAGGCCCUUUCGGGGGUACUCGAGCGGCGAACGGGUGAGUAACACGUGAGUAAUCUGCCCUUGGCUUUGGGAUAACUACCGGAAACGGUGGCUAAUACCGGAUAUGACCAUGCUCGGCAUCGGGUGUGGUGGAAAGUUUUUUCGGCCAGGGAUGUGCUCGCGGCCUAUCAGCUUGUUGGUGGGGUAAUGGCCUACCAAGGCUUCGACGGUAGCCGGCCUGAGAGGGUGACCGGCCACACUGGGACUGAGACACGGCCCAGACUCCUACGGGAGGCAGCAGUGGGGAAUAUUGGACAAUGGGCGGAAGCCUGAUCCAGCAACGCCGCGUGAGGGAUGACGGCCUUCGGGUUGUAAACCUCUUUCAGUACCGACGAAGCGCCGAUGAUGGUGGUGACGGUAGGUACAGAAGAAGCACCGGCCAACUACGUG